UACAGGGGGGGGCAAGCGUUGUUCGGAAUUACUGGGCGUAAAGGGCUCGUAGGCGGCCAACUAAGUCGGAUGUGAAAUCCCCAGGCUUAACCUGGGAACUGCAUCCGAUACUGGAUGGCUUGAAUCCGGGAGAGGGAUGCAGAAUUCCAGGUGUAGCGGUGAAAUGCGUAGAUAUCUGGAGGAAUACCGGUGGCGAAGGCGGCAUCCUGGACCGGCAUUGACGCUGAGGAGCGAAAGCUAGGGGAGCAAACGGG
rnacentral:rRNA from 1 species